GAUCACUCUGGGUUUCUGCGUGGGAAAUGCAUCACCAUGACAAGAAGUAGAGCUGACAUUGUGAGAGCAUGUGACAGGGAGUAGCAGGUAGUAGAAAGCCUUCUUUCAAAUGAAAGAGAAUGGAAGACUUGCAUUAUUUCUUCUGGGAUCGAUCGGGUAACACUAACUGCAUGAAUCCUGGUGUUCCUGGAGCCGUCUCACCAGCUCAAACGAUAAAAACAGUGGCAGCAGUGACACUGCCCCUUGAAAAAGAAGAAUGAAGAGAGAAGAAGAAGAAAGAUCUGUUGGUUUUUCUUGCAGUUCUGGGUGUUCACCCUGCCUGUUCACUAUAAGCCAGACAGGAAGGAAGAACUUGGGCUCAGAACUGAAGGGCGGACAACCCCAGGGGUGGCUCCUCUGUAAGCCCAGCACCUUCAUCGCUUCCUGACCUCACUUCAGUCUGCCUCUGCUCCCCUCCUUCACAUGUGCCCUUGAAGGUAGCCUUUUGGAUUUAGAUCCACAGAGCCAAGCUGUGACUGUCAGAACCAGGUCACUGGUUUUUAUCUGUUUGCCUGUGUGGUCAGGACCAUGUCAUCCAACUGUAGUUCUUCCAGACAACUGGGCAGUGCCUUCUGAGGCAACGGGGAAUGAAUUACCUUCCCAAGAUCCCGGAUGGAUCCUAGGGUAACUGGCAUUCUGUUGGUUCUCAUUUUAUAUUAAAGAAAUAAAUCCA
rnacentral:sRNA from 1 species